UACGUAGGGUGCGAGCGUUGUCCGGAUUUACUGGGCGUAAAGAGCGUGUAGGCGGCCAAACAGGUCCGUUGUGAAAACUGGAAGCUCAACUUCCAGACGUCGACGGAAACCGUGUGGCUAGAGUCCGGAAGAGGAGAGUGGAAUUCCUGGUGUAGCGGUGAAAUGCGCAGAUAUCAGGAAGAACACCAAUGGCGAAGGCAGCUCUCUGGGACGGUACUGACGCUGAGACGCGAAAGCGUGGGGAGCGAACAGG
rnacentral:rRNA from 1 species